rnacentral:rRNA from 1 species
UACGAAGGGGCUAGCGUUGUUCGGAUUUACUGGGCGUAAAGCGCACGUAGGCGGAUCGUUAAGUCGGGGGUGAAAUCCUGGAGCUCAACUCCAGAACUGCCUUCGAUACUGGCGAUCUCGAGUCCGGAAGAGGUGAGUGGAACUCCUAGUGUAGAGGUGGAAUUCGUAGAUAUUAGGAAGAACACCAGUGGCGAAAGGCGGCUCACUGGUCCGGUACUGACGCUGAGGUGCGAAAGCGUGGGGGAGCAAACAGG